GACAGCGCCGCCACGGUAAUACGUAGGUGGCAAGCGUUGUCCGGAAUUAUUGGGCGUAAAGGGCUCGCAGGCGGUUUCUUAAGUCUGAUGUGAAAGCCCCCGGCUCAGCCGGGGAGGGUCAUUGGAAACUGGGAAACUUGAGUGCAGAAGAGGAGAGUGGAAUUCCACGUGUAGCGGUGAAAUGCGUAGAGAUGUGGAGGAACACCAGUGGCGAAGGCGACUCUCUGGUCUGUAACUGACGCUGAGGAGCGAAAGCGUGGGGAGCGAACAGGAUUAGAUACCCCUGUAGUCCCUGUCUCUUAUACA
rnacentral:rRNA from 1 species